rnacentral:rRNA from 1 species
AACGAACGCUGGCGGCAUGCCUAACACAUGCAAGUCGAACGAGACCUUCGGGUCUAUUGUCCCACGGGUGCGUAAGCCGUCGGGACCUGCCCUUAGGGUCGGCAUACCUCAGAGACUUUUGAGCUAAUAGCGGAUGAUGUCUUCGGCCCAAAGAUUUAUCGACUUUAGAUGGGCCCGCGUUGGAUUAGCUAGUUGGUGGGGUAAAGGCCUAACAAGGCGACGAUUCAUAGCUGGUCAGAGAGGAUGAUCAGCGACACUGAGACUGAGACACGGCCGAGACUCCUACGGGAGGCAGGAGUGGCGAAUAGUGGAAAACGGGGGAAAGCAUGAACCAGCAAUGACGCGUGAGUGAUGAAGGUAGUAGGGUUGUAAAGCUCUUUUACCCGAGAUGAUAAUGACAGUAUCGGGAGAAUAAGCCCCGGCUAACUCCGUG